rnacentral:rRNA from 1 species
CACGUAGGGCGCAAGCGUUGUCCGGAAUUAUUGGGCGUAAAGAGCUCGUAGGCGGUCUGUUGCGUCCGCUGUGAAAACUCGGGGCUUAACCCCGAGCCUGCAGUGGAUACGGGCAGACUAGAGGUAGGUAGGGGAGAAUGGAAUUCCCGGUGUAGCGGUGAAAUGCGUAGAGAUCGGGAAGAACAUCAGUGGCGAAGGCGGCCUGCUGGGCUGUUGCUGACGCUGAGGCGCGACAGCGUGGGGAGCAACAGG